rnacentral:rRNA from 1 species
CCUACGGGGGGCAGCAGUAGGGAAUCUUCCACAAUGGACGAAAGUCUGAUGGAGCAACGCCGCGUGAGUGAAGAAGUAAUUCGUUAUGUAAAGCUCUAUCAGCAGGGAAGAAAAUGACGGUACCUGAGUAAGAAGCCCCGGCUAACUACGUGCCAGCAGCCGCGGUAAUACGUAGGGGGCAAGCGUUAUCCGGAUUUACUGGGUGUAAGGGGAGCGUAGAAGGCAGUGCAAGUCUGGAGUGAAAGGCGGGGGCUCAACCCCCGGACUGCUCUGGAAACUGUACGGCUGGAGUGCAGGAGAGGUAAGUGGAAUUCCUAGUGUAGCGGUGAAAUGCGUAGAUAUUAGGAGGAACACCAGUGGCGAAGGCGGCUUACUGGACUGUAACUGACGUUGAGGCUCGAAAGCGUGGGGAGCAAACAGGAUUAGAUACCCCAGUAGUC